CUUGAGCAAUCUAAAACAAAAAAGAUUUCUCGCCUCCUCACCGGUCCACGUCGCAUGGCCGUUUUUUCUAUGUAAUUACUGCCAUCGUUCCACGGACCGUAGAACCAUCUAGACCCGUCUCGACCCCCCUCUCUCUCCCAAUACUCCUAACCCCUACCCCUCACUCUCUCGGCUAGGGUUUGACAACCGCCGCCACCGUGACCCUAGCUCCUCGGCCGACUAGGUCUUCCCAAACUCCGCCGCUGGCUCACUCCCAACCUUGCCAUGUAACCGACCAAUCCAACACAGCGCACAGCCUGGCCAGGGAGCCCCGAUGGACUCCGGCAAGCCCUGCCGUGUCGACGACAGCAACCGGCUGAGCGACCUGCCGGACUGGCUCCUGCUGGACAUCCUCUCGCGCGUGGGGUCCCGCCUAGUCGUGCAGACAAGCGCCCUCUCCCGGCGCUGGCGGCAUCUCUGGUGUGACGUGCCCUGCGCCGACGUCGACGAGCGCGAGUUCGCCCCUGACGUCUCCUCCUCCAAUCGUGUCGCCUUCAGCCAGCGGCAUCAACGGUGGGCCCGCUUCGAGGACUUCGCCGACCACGUCCUGCUGUCAUCCUCCUCGUCGCCGCUCUACCAGCACCGCCGCCUCGACGCCUUCCGCCUCCACAUCGCCAGCAGGAGCCCCUGCCUCACCCACGCCACCACCGACCGCUGGCUCCGCCGCGGCCUCGCCCGCUCCCCCGUCGCCGUCGUCAUCCACUCCCCCGACCCCUCCGCCGUCCGCUGGAUCAGGAUCCCCCCAACCCCAUCGUCCCUGUCACGCCUCACCAAGCUCCAUCUCGUGGGCGUCCUGAUAACAUCGGCCAAAUCCAUGGACCAAAUCCUGGGCUGCCCGGCCCUGGAUUAGCUGCACAUGGAGCGCUGCGGGUCCAGUUACGCGUUCGCCGCCAUGGGCUCAACCAUCCUCAGGCGGUUCGCGUUCGUCCGCCCCAUCGACGGCAACAUCAUCGCCGCCGACCUCAUCCGCGUGGCUCCCCGCCUCGAGUACCUGCGCCUCGAUCUGCUCAGCGACGGGCAUCAGAGCGCCGACGAGCCCGCCCCGGAGGGCCAGGCGCCGCCGCUGCCGUCCGUCGCCGAGGCCUCGAUCCGUAUCUCCCACUUCGAUCCGUAUCACUAUAAUCUAGAGCGGGAGAAGAACAAGCUCGGGUUCUGCCAGGCCAUGUGCAGACUCCUCGCUCGAAUCCCCAACGUUGUCUGCCUCCAUCUCUCCGGCUUCACCACCACCGCGUUGCUACAGGAGAAAUCCCAUGAAUUCCCAACACUGAAUCAAUUGAGAACCUUGCUUCUGGACGAUUGUGAGCUUGGACCCAACUUCUAUACGCUAAGCAGCAGUAUCCUUCAGAACACCCCUAAGUUGGAGACACUUGGAUUGCACCGAUGCAAGGAGGAGUACAACACAUGCAGUUUUUAGACUCGACGCCGAAGAGGAGGAGGACACCUUCCAAACGCCGUGGCACGACAGCAGCAACAACUCUUCAUCCGUGCAAGAACCUGAAAUUUAUAGAGAUCAAGAGCCGUCAAGACGACGUGUUUCAAAUCCUUGGAAUUCUAUCGGAGGUUUUCGAGGAAAUGCCGCUGGCACAGUGGCGGCGGGUUGACCAAGCGAGAGAUGUGGCGGGCUUGAUGACAGUGCAAUUUCAUAGAACCAAGCAAGGGGCAAAACUGGUUGAGAGUUAGUUCGAAUUUCAAAUCAUUCCCAACUUAUUCGAUUCUGAUUCCGGAUAAUAGUGGAGUAUUAUUUUUACUAUGUAUGUUGAUUUACAUCCGCUUUGUAGUCUCCAACUAGCAAUGCAUGUUGAAAGAAAUACUUCUGUCAAUGUAUGGAUCAGGUCUAUUGGAUAUGAUCACUUCCCUAGGUGCUCCUUUGCUUCUA